UGCAAAUUGCGAAUAGCUAUUACUGGUAUUAGUGUACUAAACUGCUGACUGACAAAGUGUCACAGUCACAACUAUUAUUAUUUCUGUGUAUUUACUUAUUAGAUAUUACGUAUUUAUUAAAAUGUUUAGCAUAUUUAAAUCAAAAGCUAAGAAAAGUCAUAAUAAUGCAUCAAAAAACCAGUCAAUGAAAGUUUUACCAGAUAUGCAAUCACCUCAGGUUCUUACAACAACAUGAACAACGGAAUCGACAACAUCAGAAACUGAGCAUAGCACUAUGAACAUUUAUUUAAAAAUUAUUAAAGAUAGUAAUAAUGUGAGAGAUUUGGAAAACAAAAAAAACUGGUCCUGUUAAACCGAUUUUAGAUUAGCUGGAAAAAAAACAGGUAUUUUAAUGCAAAGUAUAAUAUUUAAAACAAUACUCUUGGCUCGAGUACAGCUUAGAAAAAAAUGCUGCAUUUUGAUUUUGCUGUCAACAUUUUGGUUGUGGUGAUGUUGAUAAAGUAUUUGCAAAAACUAGCUUUACAAAUUGAAAAAAGAUGAGAGGUGCAAAUUCAAAAAUUUCAAAACUAAAAGCACAUACUGCUACUAAAGAGCAUAUGUUAAAUAUUUCUAGAAUGUCAGAUUGCAAAAACAGUGUAGCUGCUAGAUGUGUUAGUUCUCAAAUAUCAAUUGUUCAUCAAAAAUUUGUUGAAAAUAAUAGAAAUUAUUUAAAAAAGCUUACUAACAUUGCACUGUUUUUGGCUCGUCAAGGAAUUGCAUUUCAUGGACACAAAGAAGACCCAAACUCACCUAAUCAAGGU